GACGUAGGGCGCGAGCGUUGUCCGGAUUUAUUGGGCGUAAAGAGCUCGUAGGCGGCUUGUCGCGUCGUCCGUGAAAACCCACAGCUCAACUGUGGGCUUGCGGUCGAUACGGGCAGGCUAGAGUUCGGUAGGGGAGACUGGAAUUCCUGGUGUAGCGGUGAAAUGCGCAGAUAUCAGGAGGAACACCCAUGCGAAGGCAGUCUCGCUGGGACGGUACUGACGCUGAGACGAGAGCGUGGGGAGCGAACAGG
rnacentral:rRNA from 1 species